UCGAUCGUGUGAUGUCUGCUUCUGUCAAUUCUCGGCUUCUCGCGGUCGUCUGAAAAGUGAAAAAUGAAUUAGCCCCUCGAAUAGCUAGUUGUUGUUGAUUCCGAAUUUGACAAAAUGGACUUAAUAGAAAAUAUGACAUUUCGAACACCAAAACAAAAAGCUUUGGUGUUACAACUUUAUAAAGAUCUUAAAUUCGUUAGGGGGAACGAAGAUGUGAAGAUACAUCAGUGUGAUGAGUUGGAUUUAGUGUACAUUACAGGAUACUUGCCUGAUGCUGAGAGACAACAGGAAAUCUUUUUGCCAUUAGCUGCAGAUGAAGCAAUUUCAAUGAAAAAAAUAGGAGAAGUUCAAAAAUGUCUGUUUCAUCGACACAAAUCAUCAAGACUGACUUUGGCACUAAUGGAUUCUGAUUCCACUACUGUUUAUUUUGGUGUAACACCUGGCUUAUUACCUCCAUCAGAUUUGGAGGGAGUCUUGUAUAGAAAACUUUCAAAUCACACUCACAGCAUCGUGUCGCCCAGUCUCAUCUCUAGAAUGCAUUCCAUGUCAUUUAUUACAGCCCCAAACGAAGAAGUGGCCAAAACUAUUGCCCGAGGUCUUGUUUCUGAAAAACUGGCUGCUUGUGUCAACAUAAUUCCAAAGAUCACAUCUGUGUACAGUUGGGAAGGAAAAGUUAAUGAAGAUUCAGAAGUCUUGAUGAUGGUGAAAACCAGAACUUCGAGACUACCAGAGCUAACAGAAUAUGUCAAAAAGAACCAUCCUUAUGAAGUUUGUGAAGUAAUUUCCACUGAGAUCUUACAAGGGAACAAACCAUAUUUGGAUUGGAUUUUAGAAUCUGUACCUGAAAAGGCCGAGUAAAUACUAUUGUCAUUAGGUUUUCUUCUUUUCGUCAGCCGUUAGUGCAGAACUACAAUUCCACUUCCGGAUGUCCCUUUUCUUCUGGAAUAACCCUGUCGCCUGCCCUUCUAUGUGUUCGCUAUCUGCGGCUACCUUUAUGGCGGAAGAUGUUAAAAACAAGUUCAAACAUCCAGAACGACUGACACUGAAAGAAACCAAAGGAAUUUCAGCUUGAGACUGAAAGAGAGCCAACACGAAAUUGGCGUAAUGUAGGUUGUUCUGUUGGGUUACGUCUUUUUUAUUUACCGUUUUGAAUUCUGCACCCGUUUGAGGAAUCGACGAAUAGGUGGCAGUAAACAUUCUUCUGGGGCCAGUUCCAGACAGAGAUGCCCUUCACCUUCAGUACGAACUGCUUAGAUACAACGCACAGAUAAAAAUCUCUUGAUGCAAAUUUAAAUGUCUGCCUUCUGGCCACAAAGUCACACCAAGAGACCGAAGGCUCAGGAGAACGUGAAUUUUGUUGCAAGUCUAUUUCUCUUAAAAAUGUUUCUACUGUAUGUACUGUACAUGGGCAUAGUUGGCGAGAACUCGCCCACCAUUUAGCAAAGGGUCGGGGUUUGUGUGUCAGUUUUGUUUAGCCAAAUCAUCCGCGUACAUUGGUUACAUUGCAUUGGUUAGUAGGUGUUCCUUUCUUUUCAGCGUCUUGGAUUGACUGUCUAUAUUUUGCAAUUUUUCUUGCAUUUUGUUUUAGAAUUUUCCGAGGUCAUACAACCCCAUUCCAAUCGCAGCGAUAGUCAAAAUUGCUCUCCAAUGUGUCUCCAAUGCUCUCCAAUGUGCAUAAGGCGACGCACUCACGCAGACAUAUAAUUCUUUUCACGCGUAAAUUUCCGUCUUCUGAUUUUGCACGAAUUUCCCGCCGGAUUGUGAAGUCGAUAAUCUUUGACUGCCUUAUUUCGAACGAGGAAUUCCUAUUUUCCAGUAAUUGAUACUUCUGAACUUGUAGAAGUUUUGUUGGUGUUCACUGUUCACCAUUCGCUGGAAUCUUUGGGAUAUUAGCUCACAUUUUGGGACGUCUUUAAGUACAAAGUCUACGAACCAUUGGUCAACGUACAUUCAAGUACAUCAAAAGUACAUUAGCGUGUACUUGAUUAUUUGCGUUAUUUUAAUUUGAAAGUCAUUUUAUUCAGACAAUUGGAACCCUUGAUCUUGAAUUACCCGGGUCCGACUAUUCGUCUGCUUCAGUUGUUAGGGCAACAGUUGUCAUGGCGUCUUCUGAAAGGAUGAUAGAACUGAUAGAACUACUCCCUGACUCCCUUCUCAUUUUUCUGUGCUAUUGUUAGAUUGAAGUGAUGUGACAUAUGGAACAAUCUUUGAACUGAAGUCUAAAGCAAAUACAAAUUUGAACUUCAUAUCUUAUAUCUGCAAACACGAAAGUUAUGAAUUUCGUUCUUGUAGUCAAUGGAGUUGGCGCUGGUUUCCGUUACUGGCCUUUUUUGACGUCUUGAUAUCAGUUUGGAAUAAUAGCUGGACUCUGGGGAAUCCUCACUCAUAUUCGAGUCACCACUGGACCAGUUUGUCCAGACAGGAUGUCCUUCUCGCUUGAAGGUCACGAGAAACAUUACGUAAAACUGGCAUGCGGUGAUGAAGAGGUUGGGUGAGAAUGACACGUGUUUCAUCAUUAUCAAAGCAG